rnacentral:rRNA from 1 species
GAUGAACGCUGGCGGCGUGCCUAAUACAUGCAAGUCGAGCGAACGGACGAGAAGCUUGCUUCUCUGAUGUUAUCGGCGGACGGGUGAGUAACACGUGGAUAACCUACCUAUAAGACUGGGAUAACUUCGGGAAACCGUAGCUAAUACCGGAUAAUAUUUUGAACCGCAUGGUUCAAAAGUGAAAGACGGUCUUGCUGUCACUUAUAGAUGGAUCCGCGCUGCAUUAGCUAGUUGGUAAGGUAACGGCUUACCAAGGCAACGAUGCAUAGCCGACCUGAGAGGGUGAUCGGACAGACUGGAACUGAGACACGGUACAGACUCCUACGGGAGGCAGCAGUAGGGAAUCUUCCGCAAUGGGCGAAAGCCUGACGGAGCAACGCCGCGUGAGUGAUGAAGGUCUUCGGAUCGUAAAACUCUGUUAUUAGGGAAGAACAUAUGUGUAAGUAACUGUGCACAUCUUGACGGUACCUAAUCAGAAAGCCACGGCUAACUACGUG